rnacentral:rRNA from 1 species
CCUACGGGAGGCAGCAGUGAGGAAUAUUGGUCAAUGGACGAGAGCCUGAACCAGCCAAGUAGCGUGAAGGAUGACUGCCCUACGGGUUGUAAACUUCUUUUAUAUAGGAAUAAAGUUCGGCACGUGUGCCUUUUUGUAUGUACUUUAUGAAUAAGGAUCGGCUAACUCCGUGCCAGCAGCCGCGGUAAUACGGAGGAUCCGAGCGUUAUCCGGAUUUAUUGGGUUUAAAGGGAGCGUAGAUGGAUGCUUAAGUCAGUUGUGAAAGUUUGCGGCUCAACCGUAAAAUUGCAAUUGAUACUGGGAGUCUUGAGUACAGCAGAGGUAGGCGGAAUUCGUGGUGUAGCGGUGAAAUGCUUAGAUAUCACGAAGAACUCCGAUUGCGAAGGCAGCUUACUAAACUGUCACUGACGUUGAUGCUCGAAAGUGUGGGUAUCAAACAGGAUUAGAUACCCGAGUAGUC